CCUGUUCUUGAGGCAAGCUCCUGACUUGCAAUUUCUUCAACUUGUUGCUUGGUUUUCAAUUUUUUCCCCAUGUUGCUUGACUUUUCAUUUAUUCACCCUAUUCUUCAGGCGGACUCCUAACUUACCAUUUCAUCACCCUGUUCUCCAGGUGGGCUCCUGACUUGCCGUUUCUUCACCCUGUUCUUCAGGCCGGCUCCUGACUAGCUAUUUCCAUAUGCUAUCUUUCAA
rnacentral:lncRNA from 1 species